rnacentral:rRNA from 1 species
AGCGCAGACGGUUAUUUAAGUCUGAAGUGAAAGCCCUCAGCUCAACUGAGGAAUGGCUUUGGAAACUGGAUGACUUGAGUGCAGUAGAGGAAAGUGGAGCUCCAUGUGUAGCGGUGAAAUGCGUAGAUAUAUGGAAGAACACCAGUGGCGAAGGCGGCUUUCUGGACUGUAACUGACGUUGAGGCUCGAAAGUGUGGUAGCGAACA